rnacentral:rRNA from 1 species
AUGUUCCACGUCAACGGCUGGAGCUUUCCGUGGGGGGUAGCCGUGGUGGGCGGCAGCAACGUCUGCCUUCGCCGCGUAGACGCCGCCGAUGUCUACGCCGCCAUCUCUCGCCACGGGGUGACGCACCUCUGCGGCGCGCCGGUCGUGCUGAACAUGCUGGCCAAUGCACCCGAGGCCGUGCGGAAGACGCUGCCCGGCAAGGUGGAGAUACUCACGGGCGGCGCACCGCCGCCCGCUGCCGUGCUGCACCGCACCGAGGCCAUCGGCUUCAAAGUCAGGCACGGGUACGGGCUAUGCGAGACGGCGGGGCUGGCGACGUCGUGCGUCUGGAACGCGGAGUGGGACAAGCUGCCCGCCUCGGAGCGCGCGCGGCUCAAGGCGAGGCAGGGCGUGCGCACGCCGGCUACGGCCGAGGUCGACGUCGUCGACGAUAAGAGCGGCCGCAGCGUGCCCCGUGAUGGCUCCACGGCAGGCGAGGUAGUGAUCCGAGGAGGGUGCGUCAUGCUGGGUUACUUCAACGACGAGGCGGCGACACGGGCGUCGAUCAGGCCAGACGGCUGGUUCUACACGGGGGACGUCGGGGUGAUGCACCCGGACGGGUACCUGGAGAUACGCGACCGCUCCAAGGACGUGAUCAUAAGCGGCGGGGAGAACAUCAGCAGCGUGGAGGUGGAGUCCGUGCUGUACGGCCACCCGGCCGUGAACGAGGCGGCGGUGGUGGCCCGGCCGGACGAGUUCUGGGGCGAGACGCCUUGCGCGUUCGUGAGCCUCAAGGUGGACAACGGUAGGGGCGAGCUGACGGAGGCGGAGCUCGUGGCAUGGUGCCGGGAGCGCAUGCCGCGCUACAUGGUGCCGAAGACCGUCGUGUUCCGGGACGAGCUGCCCAAGACGUCCACGGGCAAGAUCCAGAAGUACGUGCUCCGGAACAUCGCCAAGGAGUUGGGGCCCACCAGCAGGGGCGUCAGCAGCAAGAUGUAG